GAACGCGAAGAACCUUACCCGGGCUUGAAUUGCAGAGGAAGGAUUUAGAGAUAAUGACGCCCUUCGGGGCCUCUGUGAAGGUGCUGCAUGGUUGUCGUCAGCUCGUGCCGUGAGGUGUCGGCUUAAGUGCCAUAACGAGCGCAACCCCUCUCUUCAGUUGCCAUCAGGUAAAGCUGGGCACUCUGGAGACACUGCCACCGUAAGGUGUGAGGAAGGUGGGGAUGACGUCAAAUCAGCACGGCCCUUACGUCCGGGGCUACACACGUGUUACAAUGGCCGGUACAGAGGGAUGGUGUAAUGCAAAUUGCAUCAAAUCUUGAAAGCCGGUCCCAGUUCGGACUGGGGUCUGCAACCCGACCCCACGAAGCUGGAUUCGCUAGUAAUCGCGCAUCAGCCAUGGCGCGGUGAAUACGUUCCCGGGUCUUGUACACACC
rnacentral:rRNA from 1 species